rnacentral:lncRNA from 1 species
AAUGGCGUAAUCUCAGCUCACUGCCAUCUCCGUCUCCCGGGUUCAAGUGAUUCUCCUGCCUCAGCCUCCCGAGGAGCUGGGAUUAUAGGCACCUGCUACCACACCCGGUUAAUUUUUAUAUAUAUAUUUUAAGUAGAGAUGGGGUUUCACCAUGUUGGCCAGGCUGGUCUCGAACCGGCCUCCCGAAGUGCUAGGAUUACAGGCAUGAGCCACCGCGCCCAGCCGCCACUGUGCAAUCUUAACCUUUUCAGUGGUCUUCCAUGUACUCCAGUGCUGCCCUGGGCAUCCCCCUGUCCACCCUGAGGCGGUCUGAUGGCAAGUGACCCCAGGUCCCCAGCCCCUUAGC